rnacentral:rRNA from 1 species
CCUACGGGAGGCAGCAGUGGGGAAUAUUGGACAAUGGGCGCAAGCCUGAUCCAGCCAUACCGCGUGGGUGAAGAAGGCCUUCGGGUUGUAAAGCCCUUUAGUUGGGAAGGAAAGGGCAGCCGCUUAAUACUCGGUUGUUAUGACGGUACCCAAAGAAUAAGCACCGGC